UGAGAAGUUGCUUAACCGUCCACCUCUCUGCCGGAUCUCUCUUUAGACACUUGCUAACAAAGUCUUUUGCUUGGCAUGACAAAUAUUCAGGGACAUCUGGUGUUUUCCCAGAAUAAGCGAUUUGAUAAAGAAUGGACAUCGGGUCACUAUGAUUAGGCCACGGGGAGUUCCCCGUAGCCAUUUCAAUAAUCGUACAGCCAAGUGCCCAGAUAUCAGCUGCAAACCCCUGCUCUUCCCCUCGGGCCACCUCCGGUGCCAUAAACAUUGGCGUGCCACCAAAUGUCGCUGUCAAGUCACUUUUCUGAUCAACCCUCAUCGCGCAACCCAAAUCAGCAAUUUUAGCACCAGCUUCACCUAUCAAAAUGUUGGUCCCCUUGAUGUCACAAUGUGCUACGCCGCUUAAAUGAAGGUACUCCAGGCCUCUUAAAAUUUGUUGCGUGUAACAUCUGAUCAUGGCCUCAUCUAAUCCUCUGCCCUUCCUCCGAAUCACAUCGCUAAGCGUGCCAGCCGCAACAUAUUCCAGCUUCAGAUUGUACAUAAGCCUGUUAUUCUCACUAGUAAUAUCAGACCCUCUGUAGCUAACAAUGUAAGGACUUGACAUACUGCACAAAAACUUCUCCUCCCUCUGCAACCACUCCGAAUGUGAUAACUCCACCGAUUUAACUGCAAAAACCUCCCCAGAACCGCAACAACUAGCCAUCGAGACGGUGGCAGAGGAUCCACGGCCAAUAGUCUGACCUCUCCUCCACUCCAUUUUUCUGUUUAAGUGUAGUAAAAAGAACUUCUGCUGCUCUUCUUUUUUCUUCAAUGUGUUGUUUUAUUGGAGUAUCUGGUUAGUUGGUAUCUUAUAUAUAACAAAAUUUCUUGAUGAUUCCUUUAACGGGAGCCCGAAAACGUGGCGCUACGUGAUUGGUGGAGAGUUGGAAAUUGAGGGGGAAACCAUAUGGCAUAAUGAGAAGUGGACAAGUGGUCACAUAAACUUAAANGUGCCUGAGAAGUUGCUUAACCGUCCACCUCUCUGCCGGAUCUCUCUUUAGACACUUGCUAACAAAGUCUUUUGCUUGGCAUGACAAAUAUUCAGGGACAUCUGGUGUUUUCCCAGAAUAAGCGAUUUGAUAAAGAAUGGACAUCGGGUCACUAUGAUUAGGCCACGGGGAGUUCCCCGUAGCCAUUUCAAUAAUCGUACAGCCAAGUGCCCAGAUAUCAGCUGCAAACCCCUGCUCUUCCCCUCGGGCCACCUCCGGUGCCAUAAACAUUGGCGUGCCACCAAAUGUCGCUGUCAAGUCACUUUUCUGAUCAACCCUCAUCGCGCAACCCAAAUCAGCAAUUUUAGCACCAGCUUCACCUAUCAAAAUGUUGGUCCCCUUGAUGUCACAAUGUGCUACGCCGCUUAAAUGAAGGUACUCCAGGCCUCUUAAAAUUUGUUGCGUGUAACAUCUGAUCAUGGCCUCAUCUAAUCCUCUGCCCUUCCUCCGAAUCACAUCGCUAAGCGUGCCAG
rnacentral:lncRNA from 1 species